rnacentral:rRNA from 1 species
AUGGAAUUCCUGGGCGACCAUGAACUAUCAAGGUACAGUCUUGUUCCGCCUCCCUCUGCAGAAUCAAGGAGGACUGCCGGGGAGUUGGACCAAAAUGGCUCAGUGUCAUCAGGACUGAUGUCCAGGCUCGGGGUGCUAGAACGAACGGGCGCUGCAUCGGCGCAUCAUGUUCAAGCCCCUGUACGCGUGGCAAGGGUGGGUGUGUGCGAGAGUUUUGGCACGCAAGGAUCUGCCUCGUCCCAGGCGAGUGCGGAUGAUGCGGUGGUGGGGGAUUCGGGAGGGCAAGAUGCGACCGCUGAGGCAACAUCUGGAUGGAUUAAAAGGGUGCGUGUGGGAAAGGCUGCUGUCGAAAGGGAGUUCAAUCCGAACAGAAAAAGUGCUCUGGAAAUUUCUGUUAGGGAAUUUGUUGAACACAAGGAGGGAAUUGUAGUGAACCCAACCAUUGGCAAAUCCUUUGAUUCCCUGGACGAGGCUUAUGACUUCUACAACCUAUAUUCAUGGGAAAGCGGAUUUGGGGUUAGGUUAGCAAAGAGCCGAUUGAAUGUUCACCGAAUGAAAUGUAUGCAGGAGAUUGUCUGUGGUUGCGCGGUAUGUGUCACACCAUGCUAA